UUGUCUUCCCAGACAGACUUUAUCUCACUAAUCAAUCAGCCUCCAGAGGCCUGCGCUGGACAUUCAACUUCAGCCUGUCAAAAUACAAUUUAACAUACUGUAAUAUGGAGCGCAGCAAACCUGAAACGCUGAACUUUUAAUGAACUGAAAAAGCCUCCAAAUUGCUGGUUGUAAGCAAUGAUUCAAUUAAAGCUGUGAGAUCUGAGCCCCAAACACAGCCCAAGGAGCCCAUCCCAUAGACCGUUCAUGUCUACUUCCCUAAAGACCAGCGAGGAACCAGAGUUUGGAGAUAAGGCAGGCUGGACAGCCAAAUCCCUUAACAGUCUUCUGUCACCCUCUAAAUCACACACCUUUCCCACCACUUCUCUAAGUUGGACAUGGCCACACAUAUCUCCAGAUGAUUGCUGUGACCGCCCCACCAUACCAGACACACCCCCCUCCAGCUCCAGAUUCCCUCCACCACCAAAAAUUGAACGAUCUCACUCCCACCUGGAUAAUCAUGGGCUGAAGGACGGCGAGUAGAGAGGCAGCGUAUACCUUGAAGGGAACCUUGACGUGAUUUGUUAACAUGUCAGGUCAUGAACUGUUUCCCUAGUUUACACUCGAGUGCAGGUGCUGCUGAAACACCUUUCUCUAAAAAUGUCAGAAGAAUCUUAAUUCAGAGGGAUUUCAGAUAGUUCCUGUGAUGCUAAAACGUCUACAGAUCAUCUAACUACUUUCUUUUAGUUGCUGGCAGUCCCAAUCUGCUCACCAGGCUUUAUGUCUGUCAACCUCCCUCCCCCUUUUGUUCUCUGGGUGAACUCUUCAGCUUUGUUGUGAGAUCCUGGUCUCCAUACCAUCACUACCGACCCAUCCAGCUCUCUAUCAGCACACACAGAGAUACACAUAAACACUCAGUUAGCCACUCACGCAGUCAGCAUCUCUCUCCUUCACACACAAACACACAUGCACUAAAAUACCCUUCCCCUCUGAUUAAUGGCAGAGCUGGGGAGGGUGCCAGGCAAGGAGGGAAGGCAUUAGAGGAGAGGGGAGGAGACGAGAGGAGAGGAGAGGAGAGGAGGAGGAGAGGCUGCUGCAGCUGUGGUUUUGGUGUCGGUCUCUGCACCCCCUUGCUGCCCCCUCUCUCCAUCUCCUCUCUGGCUCCUCCAGGGACACACGCCUUGGCCAGGCCCCAGGAACCAGGGAGUCAGGACCAGGCUAAGGGGGAGAAAAAGGGGAACAAGGAUAGGGAAGGAAGGAUAUCACAAAAGAAAGAGAAAAACAGAGCUGACCUAAUACGAAAGUAUUGUCAGGCAGCACCUACAUAAACAGGAGAGUGCAUGAGAUGUUCCUCAAAGGUUUUUACGGGCAAAACGGAAUCACAUUUCCAAAAACACUUGAGCCUGUUAAAGUUUGUUUUACUAUUUGAUACUGGUGCUGUCAUUUGGUUUUAUGUUGCAACAGAACCAGAACUUAGUUCUUUCAGAGUUGAAAAAAACAAACACAUUACUUAACUGCAUUUUUGAGAUAAUAUCACCAUACUGAAGUAUUUUUAUUUCACAUGAAUUCAAAUUAUUACCUAAAUAAAAUGCAUACAUGCAAAGCACUACAUGGAACCAACAAACUCAUUCACAUUCAGCAGGCUACAGAUUCUCCACAGGGGGAGCUGUGUAGACGGUUUUAGACAAGUACCUCUACAAGUACGUGCUAGAGGUCUGCAAGCCCGUCGGGACCCAGUGGGCCCCAACAUGUUGAUUGGUGCCAGGCUCGGGUCGGACUCAGGCUUAUUUGACUUCUCUCCUUUCAUUGUCCUCAUAGUGUAUGGAUGUGUGUGUGUGUGUGUGUGUGUGUGUGUUUGCAUGUAUCAGUGAGAGUGAACAUCAGACAGAGCUAUUUUAACUCCUCUCCCUUCAUUGUGCCCAUAGUCUACGUGUGCUUUUGCAUGUAUCAGAGAGAACUUAGUUGGUGUUGGGGCCGGCUCGGGCUAAAAACUUGCUUUGGGCCAGACUCGGGCUUUAACACCAUGAGCCAGGGCACCAUGCUAGGAGUUUUUGGCCUGUGCAGGGCUCUAGUACACUCAAUAUGCACCACCUAUAGGACAGGAAAGUCACAACAGCAGAAGUUAAAAUGUCCAGAUGUGGCUAUUUUAAUGUUUCCUCAAACAGGCAAUUUUAAGACUCAUGCCACCUGCAGGCUGUGAGUUUUACAACUUUAGGGAUUCUAAAUAACUGCCAUUUUCUGUGUGUGUGUGAUGUUUUACUUACUUAACACUUGAUAACACUAAAUGUAAUAAAACUUUUUCACUAACCUCCUGUGGAUAAUAGACCAUUGGACAUCAGCCAUGUGCUUGUUAACCGUCUGUAUAUAUAGGUACCUUUUCCACAAAUAAACAACAGCCAUGCAAAUGAUUUAUUUCAGAUAAAUAAAUUCUGAUUAGAACCCCUUCCAUUCCUCACCAAAGGUAGACCACCCUGGGACAGAGAACAAAUGAGAACAGAUGACUAAGAGCAGCGUGUGCCCUGUAGACCGACUCUUCAGCAGACACUGGCUGAAACAUUCAUUGGCUGCAGGUGGAACAAGUGUCAAAACUGCAGAAGCUAUAACUUUGCUUUCCUCAAAGUGGUGCAUUUGCAUCUGCAGGUCUGAAUGAGUGGCACUGCAGCUCUGCAUGGCUGUCAAUUUCCACCCCCUCAGCAACAGGUGGCUGAAUGUUUAUAGACACCAAGUUCUGUUUUAAAGGGAUUUGUCUGCCAGAUUAAAAUCAGUGUGGCUUUACAAGAUAUUCUGGUUUUCUGUUGACAGAUUUGUAAAAAUAUUUUGAUUUUAUGACAUGUUUCUUUCAAAAAACCAUGUGCUUUUUGAUGUUACACAGCCCCUUAGCACUUACAGAGUAACGCUUCAUGUUGCUUCUGUUCUCUUUGGCCUUCAGCAGUCUGUGAGAAAUGUGUGCUUUUAUCAAUAUGUAGUUGAUUGUGCAACAGUUGUUUCAUCAUUUUAGCAAUAUUUCUUAUUACCCCUGAAAAAAAAUAUCUGUCCCGCUGAAAUCAACUUAAGUAUCAUACAAACAAAGAUUAUCCUUUUCAAUGUGUACAUAAGGCCAUAUUGUGUAUAUUCAUGUACAGUAGGUCUUCAAAAAGAUGCUGGCCAGCGUCAUUGGUGCCUUAAAUGUAAGAAAUGUAAUUAUAAGCAGAAGGUUGGCUUUUCAAACUGUUACAGUUGUUCAUCUUCAGAAAUCAGAACACUGCAGUUUCACUCGGUAUCAAAUGGGAAAUAAAGUGAUUUCCUUAGAUGAGCAAUGAAAAUAAACAGUUUGUGUUUCCUGUACUUUUAUUCUGUAAGUUUGCCAAGACCAGCUCUGGUAACCUUAUUCCACAAUCCACUGUUGCUUCCCGAGGAAGAUAACGAGUGAUGAGGAAGGGGGAAAAAAUGGCCAAUGGGUGGAUGAACCUGAGAGAACAGGCACUAUAGAUGAACACUUUUGCUCUACACGUGGCUGGCUUGCUUCUCUUUUUUAAACUUGUCAAAAGCACUUGUAAUAAAUUCAGAAUUAAUGCGUACAGAGGUGGAAAAUUUCCUCUUAAACAGUGAAGAUUGUGUGAUUUUUCAUGGUUGGGGGAGGUGUCUACAGAGGGCUCAUCCUUAUUAAAUUUGAGAUAAGCUUAUCAGCUCUCCACUUGUGCUAACUUAACCUAUGGCUUUAAUGGUAGCCUGCCUCAACUUAUGCAGGAUGUUUGGGUAUGCCUGUGUGUGCUUGAACCCAAAGUGUGAUCUGCUUACCCCCACUGCCCUGCAGCCCCGGGUUAGUGUGUAUUUGAGGCCUAUUCUCUCUCUCUCUCUCUCUCCUCUCCCCCACUACUCUCAGUGUUUUAUGGGCUGUGUGCUGCGGUGCAGUGACCUCCCUCUCACCCCGGUGCCACCCAGCCGGUGCAGGAUUCAGGCGCGCAUGGCCCCUGCCAAAACCCCAUAGCGCCACAUCUGCAAUCCAUAAACGCCAGCCACUCUCGCUCUCCUACUCCCUCGCCCACACCGCCUCAGACUCUCACACUCCUCCAUUUCACUCUCUCUCUCUCUCACCCACUAACUUUUUAUUUUAAUUUCCAAAUUCUAUGCAUCCCCCUUUUUGCAUUCCUUUGACUGCUUCCUCCCACCACUUCUGGUUUUAUUCAUGCCGAACAUCAACUGGCUCUUCCCUUAUCUCUCACUCCCUCACUGCCCCUUUUCUCUCCUUCCGUUUCUUUAUCCACAUCCAACGGAAAAAUCUCUCACCCAUUAUAUCUUCAGUCGGAGCCAACUAAGUGUGGUGGCAGUGAACUAGGAACCACAAGACAUUCCUGAUCCAAACAGCACUAAGUCACCAGCGUUCACGUCUUCUGACAGCGGCCUGUGCCAAACACACACUUCACUUAUGGGCUGGAUUCAGCCUUACCACGUCGCAGUUGGUCCCCAAACAGCUAAAUGUUUAUCUGUUUCAAAUUGAUAGUGUCAGGGAAAAAUGCAGUGUACGCAUCUACACUUUACCAUUUUUGUACAUGUGUUACUUAAAGAGCAUUCUCCAUCAAGGGGGUAUUGAAUUCCCUCUCCCCUCGCCAUGAACUGCUGGCCAGCAGAACACACAAUACCCCUCCCCUCAGCCUUAACAAGAUGUGUUCAACACAUCACUGUUACCGUGCCCUUGCCUUAAUACAUAUACAAAAAAAUAGCAAAGUAGGAAAUAAAUUGGGUGUUACCAUAUAACUGUCCAGAGAUCAUAGCUUGCCCCCCAAGGGCAAUAGAAACAUUAGUCUUUCCCGAUUGUAUUAUCUUUUUUCUUCAACUUUUUCCACUGUAAUCAAAUAAAAAUGCACACAGUGAACUUUUGCUCCCCUUCAUUUCUUGGAUCAUGUUCUCCUCUUCAUCCCAAAGUCUUCACCUUCUGGUUUCCCAGACAUAUUGGCAAGGCCUCUGUGGUGCAGUCCCAAUACAGCCCAAGGAUGAAUCAUGUUGCUGCAAGCAUGCAAGGGCUUAGUUUUAUGAUAAAUAUUGCAAUUCAUAAAUCAGUAUUUUUCUAAGCAAGGAGGAAUGGGGCAGGGAAGGACGCAAAACUGUAGGGCAUUGCAGCUUCAGUUUGAAAGCGACAGAAAAGAGGUCAUGAUCUGAGUGUGUGUGUAGACUAGAGCUCAAAAGGAAGUUUCAGGUCAGGGCAAGACCACCAUGGAGAGAGAGAGCAGGGUCUUGUGUGUGUGUGUGUGUGAAGGGGUGUAUACUGCCGGUAGUUAGCAAAAUGCUAUAAAUACUUCUACUUUUAGAUGUUGAUAGACUUUUAGGCACAGGGUACAGAAAGUGUAGUUAAAAAUGACUGUUUUAAAAGCGGUUACUUGCCCUCACACUGAUGUAAUGUUGGUGCCAGCUUAAAAUAGCUUACACAGGUUAAGAAGUCUUGUAUUUUGUGCUUUGUGUUGUUUCAUACUGUAUUAAAUUCAUUCAAAGACUGGUUAUUAACUAGGUCUUGGUGGGCUCUUUUUUUUGUACAAUCCACUCAGGCAUGUUUGUGAUAAAUGAUUGCAUAAAUAAAUGAACCUGACAGCU